GAGGAGCCCUCGGCCCGAGCAUUACUAUAGACACCUCACAGGAAGCUCAGCCAGGGACCGAGCCUGCCUGUGACUCCGCACUGCCUGAGCAGAGGACAGCCUCCGCACAGGAAUGUGCCUUGGGAUUAUCUAUCCAUGUUACCACAUGGCAGAAACCAAGAAGACUUAAGACAUCCAGAUCCCCAACAGACCCAGGGGUUCCCGGCAGGGCUUCUCUCACGUCAUGGCACAGCUCACCUGGGGAACCCUGCCGCGCCAGAUGCCGAUUCUGGAGGUCCGAGGUGGGGUCCCAGAUUCUGCAUUUCACAUGUGUCCCCAGCGAUGCUGGUGUAACAAAGAGAGUCACUUAAGAAAGCACGGAUAAAGGGACAAUCAAGAACAGAUCACAACCUGGAGAAUCUGCAGUUCUGUUCUCUCAUCGGUGCAAGGAGGAAAAAAAUCGAAGUUACUCGAUAAACAAUAUUUUUCAGAAAAUAGAAAUCUAAUCAUCCUGAAUCCAGGAGACCCAUAUUUCAGAAACUAUCUGUUCUUAUUAGUCUCCCACAGCUCUGAAGAAACAAGCAAACAUGAGAAUAAUAAAAACCACCUCUCCAAAAUGAAUGAACAAAUGAUGCUAUCACUGUGAUGAUGUCUUCUAUUUAAUCAGUAUCUCAGGGAAAGUUGUAACUGGUGCCAAGUGCAGAGGUAUAGGCCCUGCCAUCUAGAGACCUUGUAUUCUGUAGGCCAGGCUCCCAAAGCCUGGAGGA